UGGAUAAAGAGGUAUUGGCGUGCCUCAAUCCGAAGGCAUGGCUGAUUACUAGCAUGCACCAAGCUCAGCCAUGUUCUUGGAUUGAGCCGCGUCAAUAUCUCUCCUUGCUUC
rnacentral:pre_miRNA from 1 species